AACGAACGCUGGCGGCAGGCUUAACACAUGCAAGUCGAGCGCCCCGCAAGGGGAGCGGCAGACGGGUGAGUAACACGUGGGAACCUUCCUAGAGGUACGGAACAACUCAGGGAAACUUGAGCUAAUACCGUAUACGCUCUUGCGAGGAAAGAUUUAUCGCCUUUAGACGGGCCCGCUUCGGAUUAGCUAGUUGGUGGGGUAACGGCCUCCCAAGGCGACGAUCCGUAGCGGAUCUGAGAGGAUGAUCAGCCCCACUGGGACUGAGAUACGGCCCAGACGCCUACGGGAGGCAGCGGUGGGGAAUCUUGGACAAUGGGCGCAAGCCUGAUCCAGCCAUGCCGCGUGAGUGAAGAAGGCCUUCAGGUUGUAAAGCUCUUUUGCCAGGGACGAUAAUGACGGUACCUGGAGAAUAAGCCCCGGCAAACUUCGUGCCAGCAGCCGCGGUAA
rnacentral:rRNA from 1 species